rnacentral:siRNA from 1 species
GCAUAUGCCACAAUCGUCUCUCAC